rnacentral:rRNA from 1 species
CCCUUAGAUGGUCUGGGCGGCACGCGCGCUACAAUGAUGCAUUCAAAAAGUCUUCCGACCUUAGAAGGUUGGGUAUUCUCCAAAGUGCAUCGUGAUGGGAAUAGUUUAUUGCAAUUUUUAAUCUUGAACGAGGAAUUCCUAGUAAGUACAGGUCAUCAACUUGUGUUGAUUACGUCCCUGCCCUUUGUACACACCGCCCGUCGCUCCUACUGAUUGAGUGUCUCGGUGAAUUCUUUGAUCUUCUGUCGAUUCAGUUCACUGAUCCGACGGUGGAAAGUUGAAUGAACUUCGUCACUUAGAGGAAGGAGAAGUCGUAACA